rnacentral:SRP_RNA from 1 species
AGUUGGGCUAGGGGGAGUGUUGACGUGCUCUAUCAUUCACAAAUCGUCGAUAAUGGUGACCUGAAGUCCGAGGGCGGCGCAGACGAGCCAGCAAUGAACCAUCGGUUAACGUCGAUACCUCGCCCCCAAGAGAUGCAGGUUGGCGGAGGUCGCUUCCGGAGGGAAGCGAGGCCCGUCUUACGCCCGGGAAUCAGGUCAGGCGCGGAAGCGAGCAGCCCGACCGGGGAUGCUGGAUGCCUUGGGAUUGCGGGGUGGAGGAGAUCGAUGAAUAUUCAAUGUUGGUGACGAGCGUCCACCGAGGACAUGCCCACCU